CGUAUCUAGAGAGGGUGGAAGCAGCUCAUCAGCUGUAUUUAUUUAUUUUUGAGACUUAUUACUUUUUACGUACCGUAUCAGUAAGUAUUAAUUUCUAUCUUUUAUCACGCAAAUGUAUCGAAUUUUUCUUCUUAUUUUGCAACAUUAGCCUAUUUUCAUAAAAUAUAUGGCUUAAUAAUUGAUUAUGAUGUAUAAUAUAUUGGUAGAAAUAUAUUCAUAAUCUUCCACCGACCUAUUGUUUUCGUCACUGAAAACUUUUGAGGGUCUCUCUGGGGGUGCCAUGGCACUCCUAUCACCUCAGCUACUUGCGGCACUGGGUAUUAUACAAUAUCUAAUAUAAAUAAUAGAGUUUCGUACCUCGGAAGCGAGUCUCAUUAAUGUAAAAAAACGAUGGCGCACGCGCAUCGUGGUAUAAUGGCUAAUCAAUUUAUUUUACGACUGUAUAAAUACAAACGACGACAAAGGAAUCCGAAUGAUAAUCAAAUGAGUUACAACCUACCCGGUUGUUGUUUACGAAAUGAAAUCAAACGCAUAUUAUUAUAUGAGUAGAUGACGAAAAUUGAUCGGAAUUUG